rnacentral:sRNA from 1 species
CUUUGGUUGAUGGUCAGUCUCUGUGAGCCUUCAUGAGUCCAGUAUUGUGUAUGUAACAUCUGAAAUGGUGUGUGUUCUGACUUGUUUAUGAGAGCUUAGUUUCUACAGGUGCCUUAAAUUUCAAGUUUCAAGCUGUUCUUCUAUCCUUACCUCCCAAUUCACUGGAAUUACAUCAUGCAUCACUGUGUCCACUC